GCGCCCGUAGCUCAGUUGGAUAGAGCAACGGCCUUCUAAGCCGUGGGUCGCAGGUUCGAAUCCUGCCGGGCGCGCCA
rnacentral:tRNA from 11 species